AGGAACAAACAGCUGCGGGAACAAACAGAGAGGCAAAGAGAAGAAGAACUGACUGAGGCACAACAAUAUCCCAGCGGUAUCCCACGAGUUCGCUCCACUACAUUGUCACGUGAAGGAACCCAAGAUGAAAUACCACUUAAAAUGAGGAGGUAAAAUGGCAGCCAAGGAAAAGUCCCCAUCAAUGAAGCAAUGAUGACGUGAGGAGCCAAUCCGAAUGAGCAGUUAAAAUGGCAGGAGGUCUGACAUUCGCAGAAG